CAAGAGUACCAAUGCAUACAUGCUAAACUUACAAUAUGAUGGUGCUGAAGAAACAGUUCUUACUACUUCAUCCCCUGAUUUAAAUUUUGGGAACAAGUAAAAAAGGCUUGGCAGAUAGAGAACAGUGAUUACAAGUUACCUGCAAUAUGUACCAAGCCAAGAAAAGUGGGUCAUCUUUGGAUGCCAACCAUUUAAUGUUGAAUGAAAACCUUCGAGACAACUAGUUUGUGCUUCUGAAGAUAGUUUUUUAACAUCUUUGAGAACAGAUUUU